AUACUCUGGUUUCUCUUCAGAUCAUAUAAAUCUUUCGCCUUUUAAUAAGAUUUCCAUGGAGAGGAACAAUUCUGAGUUCUAAUAAAAAAAAGAAUAUCAACGAUUUACUCAUUAUG